rnacentral:rRNA from 1 species
UCGAGGGGUAUAGUAGCAAUACUUAGAGACCGGCGCACGGGUGAGUAACGCGUAUGCAACCUGCCCUUUACUGGAGGAUAGCCCGUAGAAAUGCGGAUUAAUACCCCAUAGUAAUGUUGGAUCGCAUGAUCUGGCAUUUAAAGUUUCGGCGGUAAAGGAUGGGCAUGCGUGACAUUAGCUAGUUGGAGAGGUAACGGCUCACCAAGGCUUCGAUGUCUAGGGGUUCUGAGAGGAAGAUCCCCCACACUGGUACUGAGACACGGACCAGACUCCUACGGGAGGCAGCAGUGAGGAAUAUUGGUCAAUGGGCGAGAGCCUGAACCAGCCAUCCCGCGUGCAGGAAGAAUGCCCUAUGGGUUGUAAACUGCUUUUUCGCAUGAAGAACACCCCUGACGUGUCAGGGGCUGACGGUAAUGCGUGAAUAAGCACCGGCUAACUCCGUGCCAGCAGCCGCGGUAAUACGGAGGGUGCAAGCGUUAUCCGGAUUUAUUGGGUUUAAAGGGUGCGUAGGCGGCUAUUUAAGUCAGUGGUGAAAUCCUGCAGCUUAACUGUAGAACAGCCAUUGAAACUGAAUAGCUUGAGUGAUCUUGAGGUAGGCGGAAUGUGUAGUGUAGCGGUGAAAUGCUUAGAUAUUACACAGAACACCGAUUGCGAAGGCAGCUUACUAAGGAUUUACUGACGCUGAUGCACGAAAGCGUGGGGAUCAAACAGGAUUAGAUACCCUGGUAGUCCACGCCGUANACGAUGAUAACUCGCUGUUGGCGANACACAGUCAGCGGCUUAGCGAAAGCGUUAAGUUAUC